rnacentral:rRNA from 1 species
GUCCACGCCGUAAACUAUGGGUACUAGCUGUCGGGCGGUCUUACCCGCUCGGUGGCGGCGCUAACGCAUUGAGUACCCCGCCUGGGAAGUACGGUCGCAAGAUUAAACUCAAAGGAAUUGACGGGGCCCGCACAAGCGGUGGAGUAUGUGGUUUAAUUCGACGCAACGCGAAAACCUUACCUAGGCUUGACAUCCCGCGCAUAACCAUGAAAGUGGUGAAUUCCCGCAAGGGACGCGGUGACAGGUGCUGCAUGGCUGUCGU